UACGUAGGGGGCAAGCGUUGUCCGGAAUCAUUGGGCGUAAAGAGCGUGUAGGCGGCCCGAUAAGUCCGCUGUGAAAGUCCAGGGCUCAACCCUGGGAUGCCGGUGGAUACUGUCGGGCUCGAGUCCGGAAGAGGAGUGUGGAAUUCCUGGUGUAGCGGUGAAAUGCGCAGAUAUCAGGAGGAACACCAAUGGCGAAGGCGGGUCUCUGGACAGUUCCUGACACUGAGACACGAAGGCCAGGGGAGCAAACGGG
rnacentral:rRNA from 1 species